rnacentral:rRNA from 1 species
UGAGACCUCAGGUCAGACGGGAU